rnacentral:rRNA from 1 species
GUGAGNACGUGNGUNGAUUGCUAGCGAUUCCGACUUCAUGGAGGAGAAGUGUAGUCAGCCUGCCAUUCCGGACUUACGACUUGUCAUUUUGGGGAUUCAGUCAUGCAUUUCGUUAGGUUGGUGCUCUUUGUAGCUUGCAACGUGAUUGCCAGUGUGUAGCCUUCCUGCCCCANGAGCCACUUUAGCCACCGUAGGCG